AGCUAGUGUCUGGGCCAGGCUACACCCCACAGGCUCAGCCCUCCUCGUAGAAGGGCCUGCCGUGCCCCUGAAGCACGGCCUGCUUCUCACAUCUCCGGUUAGUAAUGUCUGCUUGAUCACUCCCCCGGCCAGAAUCAAGAGACUUUCUCCUGAUCACAGGGAGCUGUCUCCACUAUCACGGAGUAAGAGCUGCCCCUUGCUGCUCAAAGUCCUGAGACCAGGGGUCCCGAGACCAGCGCCUGGGCAUCACCUGGGGCCGGUUAGAAAUGCGGUAUCUCAGUCUCCACCCCAGACGCAUGGAUUCAGACUCUGUGUUGUGGCGAGAUCCCCCAGGGAUUCACGUCCACAUCACAGGCUGAGAAGCACCGGUGGAACCCUCUGGAUA